UUUUUAGCUUCUAUAGAAUCAAAAACAUUCGAGCGUACAGCCUUUCUUUUUUCGUUCUUUAUCUGUAAAAGCAUUUUAUACCUAUCUUAUUAUUAUUACUCCCCGUUACGGACAGAGGAGGUUUUAUUCCCUCUCUGCUGCACGCGCCGUUUCGUGUUUGACUCGCAAUAUCUGUUGCUCGCGCCAGCCUAGCGCGUUUUACAUCAGACCCGGUUUCUGCAAACGCUGGCAACAGGCUAGAACGUUUGCGAAUAUCUCCGUUACAGUAGCUAUCAAACGGUGGUUCCUCGGGUUAUUUGAGCGCUCGCGUCCAGCGUGUCACAGCUGACGUCGACUGACACUCGGUGGAAGCCCCUCUCCUUCCCUCGCGCUUUUUGUUCAUCGGUUUGCUUCAUUCGAGAGGGUUCGUCUUAUUUCCAGCACCUCGAGAUUCACGCGGGAGCCGUUUGUCUAUAUCAAUGUGCAUUAAUGUAGGAGACACCGCGGAAGAGAUAAGGUGAGAUAACCUUGCUGAUAACAAAGAGCGGCACGCCGAGGUCUGCGUUUGAUUGUGACAUUGGCGGACUUGUUACUACCACGCGCUUUGUAAACUCGACUUCUGUAGCCUGUAUGUUUAACUGCAUUGACGGCGAUUGAUAAAUGUCGACAGAAGAGCUCUUAUCUCCUCACCUGGCACCUUUGUUUUGGAUUUGCCAAGGAUUUCCUAAAGCGACAGUGGGCAUACUCGACUGAAGGAUUUCGGGGUUUUAAUCUAAAUCGGGAUCUAUACAUCCAAACUGGGAUCUAUGAGCGGAAAAGUGGCUAAGCCUAAAGAAGAAAAGGAUGCUUCAAAGGUCCAGGAUGAUGCUGCCCCAGGUACCCAGGAGUACAUUAUGUUGCGGCAGGAUUCCAUCCAUUCUGCGGAUAUAAGGGGUAAAGGCUCCCCUUUUCGUGCUAAGUGUCAUGAAAUCUUCUGCUGCCCACUGAAGCAAGUCGUCCUCAAAGAAAGCUCAGAGC